UGGCUCAGGACGAACGCUGGCGGCGUGCUUAACACAUGCAAGUCGAACGGUGAUGGAGAGCUUGCUCUCCUGAUCAGUGGCGAACGGGUGAGUAACACGUGGGCAACCUGCCCCAGACUUCGGGAUAACGCUUCGAAAGAGGUGCUAAUACCGAAUACGAACCUCCCUGGCAUCUGGGAGGUUGGAAAGUUUUUCGGUCUGGGAUGGGCCCGCGGCCUAUCAGCUUGUUGGUGAGGUAACGGCUCACCAAGGCGACGACGGGUAGCCGGCCUGAGAGGGCGACCGGCCACACUGGGACUGAGACACGGCCCAGACUCCUACGGGAGGCAGCAGUGGGGAAUAUUGCGCAAUGGGCGAAAGCCUGACGCAGCAACGCCGCGUGAGGGAUGACGGCCUUCGGGUUGUAAACCUCUUUCAGCAGGGAAGAAGCGAAAGUGACGGUACCUGCAGAAGAAGCACCGGCUAACUACGUG
rnacentral:rRNA from 1 species